GACGAACGCUGGCGGCGUGCCUAAUACAUGCAAGUCGAGCGAAUGGAAGGGAGCUUACUCCCUGAAGUUAGCGGCGGACGGGUGAGUAACACGUGGGCAACCUGCCUGUAAGACUGGGAUAACUUCGGGAAACCGGAGCUAGUACCGGAUACGUUCUUUUCUCGCAUGAGGAAAGAUGGAAAGUUGGUUUCGGCCAUCACGUACAGAUGGGCCCGCGGCGCAUUAGCUAGUUGGUGGGGUAAUGGCCCACCAAGGCGACGAUGCGUAGCCGACCUGAGAGGGUGAUCGGCCACACUGGGACUGAGACACGGCCCAGACUCCUACGGGAGGCAGCAGUAGGGAAUCUUCCGCAAUGGACGAAAGUCUGACGGAGCAACGCCGCGUGAGCGAAGAAGGCCUUCGGGUCGUAAAGCUCUGUUGUCAGGGAAGAACAAGUGCCAGAGUAACUGCUGGCACCUUGACGGUACCUGACCAGAAAGCCACGGCUAACUACGUGCCAGCAGCCGCCGUAA
rnacentral:rRNA from 1 species